rnacentral:rRNA from 1 species
UACGUAGGGGGCAAGCGUUGUCCGGAUUUAUUGGGCGUAAAGAGCGUGUAGGCGGCUUUACAGGUCCGCUGUGAAAACUCGAGGCUCAACCUCGAGCUGUCGGUGGAAACCGUAAAGCUAGAGUCCGGAAGAGGAGAGUGGAAUUCCCGGUGUAGCGGUGAAAUGCGCAGAUAUCGGGAAGAACACCCGUGGCGAAGGCGGCUCUCUGGGACGGUACUGACGCUGCGACGCGAAAGCGUGGGGAGCGAACAGG